rnacentral:rRNA from 1 species
GACGAACGCUGGCGGCGUGCCUAAUACAUGCAAGUAGAACGCUGAAGGAGGAGCUUGCUUCUCUGAUGAGUUGCGAACGGGUGAGUAACGCGUAGGUAACCUGCCUGGUAGCGGGGGAUAACUAUUGGAAACGAUAGCUAAUACCGCAUAAUAGUAGAUGUUGCAUGACAUUUGUUUAAAAGGUGCAAUUGCAUCACUACCAGAUGGACCUGCGUUGUAUUACUAGUUGGUGAGGUAACGGCUCACCAAGACGACGAUACAUAGCCGACCUGAGAGGGUGAUCGGCCACACUGGGACUGAGACACGGCCCAGACUCCUACGGGAGGCAGCAGUAGGGAAUCUUCGGCAAUGGACGGAAGUCUGACCGAGCAACGCCGCGUGAGUGAAGAAGGUUUUCGGAUCGUAAAGCUCUGUUGUAAGAGAAGAAACGAAGUGUGAAGAAGUGGAAAAGUUCA